UAAUACGUAGGGGCCAAGCGUUAUCCGGAUUUACUGGGCGUAAAGCGCAUGUAGGCGGUCUACUAAGUCGGACGUGAAAGCUCCUGGCUCAACUAGGAGAGGUCGUUCGAAACUAGUAGACUAGAGGGUGGUAGAGGAGAGCGGAAUUCCAGGUGUAGCGGUGAAAUGCGUAGAUAUCUGGAGGAACACCAGUGGCGAAAGCGGCUCUCUGGCCCACUCCUGACGCUGAGAUGCGAAAGCCAGGGGAGAGAACGGGAUUAGAAACCCCGGUAUUCCUGGCCGUAAACGAUGUCAACUAGGCGUAGGAGGUUAUUGACCCCUUCUGUGCUGUAGCUAACGCGUUAAGUUGACCGCCUGGGGACUACGGCCGCAAGGCUAAAACUUAAAGGAAUUGACGG
rnacentral:rRNA from 1 species